CAGUAGCCGCGGUAAGACGAACCGUGCGAACGUUAUUCGGAAUUACUGGGCUUAAAGCGCGUGUAGGCGGGUCGGCACGUCGGUCGCUGAAAUCCCCCGGCUCAACCGGGGAAGUGGCGCCGAUACGGCCGGCCUGGAGGGGGGUAGGGGGGCCUGGAACUUCCGGUGGAGCGGUGAAAUGCGUUGAGAUCGGAAGGAACGCCCGUGGCGAAAGCGAGGCCCUGGACCCUUUCUGACGCUGAGACGCGAAAGCCAGGGGAGCAAACAGGAUUAGAUACCCCGGUAGUCCCUGUCUCUUAUA
rnacentral:rRNA from 1 species